UGCUCCGAGCAGCGACAGCACCUCCGUCUCGCCUCUUCAUUCGUCGGCACGAGCUCGUGCUCGUCCGCGGUCGGUUAUCCUGUGCUGCAUACCUAUCGAGAGGGCAUUUUGUCGGCUGAAACGGUCCCAUCUCCGUCCUGCGUCGCCGCUCCGUGCGGGCGGUCGAUGCGGGGUGGACCUCAAGGCUCGCGUCGUGUCUCGCACCGCAUCCACCAAUUUUCGGUGUUUGGGCAGGCGAACCACGUCGCGUCGCCCGUCGCCUCGGGUACGGAACAUCACGUGGGUACGCGGCCUCGGCCGCCGAUCRCCACAACGAUGCGUUCUACGCUUUUUGCGAACGACGGUCGGCUCGGUCUCCGCCCGUGCACUCGUGCAUCG
rnacentral:misc_RNA from 1 species